GUGAGUGAAAGGGAGGUGAACUGGUUUUCUAGAGUGGUCUGGGUAGAUGACGAGCACAGAACACAUGGACAAAUGCCCUAAGGAUGGGACACAGGGAGGCAAGCUUAAUCUUGUGGAGGAAAAGUUGGUUGAAAAGAAGAAUGGAUACAAUUCCAGCUAAAGAGGAUUGAUCCUUGUACCUUAGUAAGCCCUGGGGCAAAUCGUAGGAGUCAGGUGAGAAGGGAGAGAGCUGUAGGGCUCAAGGAAAUCUAGAGAACCAGCUCAGGACGACUGUUAGAACAGAGAAUGAGGAGGCAAGGUCUCUCCAGAGGACAAUGCAGCUCUGUUGGCUUUGGUAUCUACUUCCAUUAACUGCCUGGGAACUUAAGGUGCUGGAAGAGGAAAGAUGAACCCUAUGCAGAUCUUCCCCUGAUGCUGACCACCACCUUUUCCAAGGUUGGAAAACCUGCUAAGAAUGCUGCUUGUAAGAUGUAAGCUAUGAGCCCACCCUGCGGAAUCUACAUCUUAUCUAGUCUCUCUUGACUAGAGAAUAAAGUUAAACAUUCAAAGAAAAAAAUCUUCAGAAUUUAACCAAUGCAGAAGACGCUUUAGGUGAUACACCAGCUGGGAUUAGGUUUGGUUGCAAGUGUCAGAUCAAAACAGUUGUCACAAACAAGAAGGAAGUUCGUUUCAUGUUCACAUAACCAAAGUGCAAAUGGAACAUGCUCAAGACUCUGUAUCGCAAACAUCUUAAGAACGCCAGUCCUUUCCAACGCAACUGCUCGACCAUCCUAAGCAGCGGUCCCCCUCUUCCUGGCCCAAGAUGGCUGCACCUUUAUUCCAAGCAGAGGAUGAAGGAAGGAACAAGGAAGACACGCAGCAGCGUGCACAAGGGCCCCUCAAGGGAGGGUUGGGAACCCGCCGUGUGCACUUAGUCACGUUUGUAUUUGGCUUCAAGGGAAACUGGGAAAGGCCGUCCUUAUUCUCAGCAACAAAUGUGCCCAGUAGAGAGGAUCUUACCAUAAAAGAAGGGAGAAAGGAUUUGGGGGGAACAAGGAGUAAUCUCUUUAAAAGGUGGGGAGAAUGUUUAAUCACAAAUCCAUAGUCUCUGACUUAUUC
ensembl:lncRNA